UGGAUGUGAGCAAAGAGGGGAGGAGUGAAGGUGAAGGUGAAGAUGCAGCGGUGGUGAGGGUCCUGCAGGACUUGUCCCAGGAGAGGAGAGGUGGUGGCUCCCUGGGGAGGCAGGCGCAGAGGACACAGGACCAGCAGGCAAAAAGGCUGCGGGUGAUGAAGGGGAGCAUCAACAGACAUCCUGUUUGGACAAAACCUGUUCACCCUCCCCAUCAAAGCUCAGCUGCAUGUUCCCGAUGGAUCCAUGCUGAUAAUUGCCUUUUAAUGAUCAUCUCCCAAAACAUCUUUGCUCCUGGAAAGCCUCAACAAAACGUUAUGCAAGAAAUGAGCUGGGAGCCGUUGGAGACCGGAGCUGUGAAUGCCUUGGGCAGAGCUCCCUGCUUUGAGUAAAAUUGCAUCUGGAGACACCUGGGCACGCAGGGUCUUCCUUUGUGCUGCUGCCUGCAUGGAAAGGGCAAGAAAUCACAGCUUCUCAAGCAUGGAGUUUCUAGGCAGAGCACUUGAAUGGUCCAAGUGAGGAGCUGUGGGACCUCAGGCUGCCUGGAUCACCCCAAGGUGAGCAAACCAUGAGUUAUGGCUCCCAUCCCUCGUGCCAUGGUUCGUUUUGUGGCUCUCACCUGUGCUGGAGUGCUCCCAAGUCUGCAGGAGGCCCCUGGACACACUUGUGAGCUUCAGCUCUGUCCCAGGAGCUGGACACUUCUGCUGGUAGCAGGCCUGGAAAUGUAGAAUCUUCCACCCCAUAUUGCCCAUGUGCAUCCCUCUUGCCCACCCAAAACACCCUAAAUUUAUCCUAAAACUCUUUCCGUGUGUUUAAUCCCAGACUAGAAAUAGAUCAAUCCAUAUUUACAGCUGAACCUAUUUAAGCCCCAUGAUAACACACCAUGAGUCCUUUAUAUCCCA